GCCAGCGUGACGUAGUGGUUUGAGUGAUGGACUUUUACUGUGGAGACCAGGGUUCGAAUCCCAGCUCAGCCA